CCUACGGGUGGCAGCAGUGGGGAAUCUUGCACAAUGGGGGAAACCCUGAUGCAGCGACGCCGCGUGAGUGCAGGAGUAUCUCGGUACGUAAAGCUCUAUCAGCAGGGAAGAAAAUGACGGUACCUGACUAAGAAGCCCCGGCUAACUACGUGCCAGCAGCCGCGGUAAUACGUAGGGGGCAAGCGUUAUCCGGAUUUACUGGGUGUAAAGGGAGCGUAGACGGCAGCACACGUCUGGAGUGAAAUCCCGGGGCUUAACCCCGGAACUGCUUUGGAAACUGUGCGGCUGGAGUGCAGGAGGGGUAAGCGGAAGUCCGAGUGUAGCGGUGAAAGGCGUAGAUAUUAGGAGGAACACCGGUGGCGAAGGCGGCUUAAUGGACUGUAACUGACGUUGAGGCUCGAAAGCGUGGGGAGCAAACAGGAGUAGAUACCCGUGUAGUC
rnacentral:rRNA from 1 species